GUGCGCCGGAUGCUCCCAAGGCGGCAUCCGGUGCGUCUGAUGCACCCCAUGUGGCGUUCGGUGCGCCAGGCGCACCC
rnacentral:tRNA from 1 species